GCAAAUACGGAUACGGCAUGGGAGGUCUGUAUGGAGGACUUGGAGGAUUUGGAGGCUAUGGUGGUCUCUACGGAAUGGCAGGCUACGGAAUCGGACUAGGAAAAGGAAUCGGCUACUACUGAGUUACUGUCACCUGCAGUGUGAA